AGCUGAGGGAGCGGGCUCCUCCUUGGCCAGCCCAGAAAGGGGCUCCCACAGUGCAGCGGUGGGCUGAAGGGCUCCUCAAGUGCCCCCAAAGUGGGAGCCCAGGCAGAGGGGGCGCCGAGAGCGAGCGAGGGCUGUGAGGACUGCCAGCACGCUGUCACCUCUCACAAGGAAGGCCGCUGUGGAGCGUGGAGGAAGCGCUCCCGGGCGGGAAGGCCGCUGUGGAGACUGGAGGAAGCGCUUCCGGGCGGGGAAGGCCGUUGCGCAGCCUGGAGGAAGCGCUUCUGGGUGGGGAAGGCCGCUGGGAGCAUGAACUUCUGAGCAGUGGUCUGAAAUUGAACUCACAAUAUUUCUGAGGCAUGCCUGUACUGCCCUCUCCCAAGAAUGCCUACGUGACCAGCCCUCAGACUGGAUCUUCUGCCUCCAAAUUAUGUUUGCAGUUCAUGUAGCAGGCAUGACAGACUUCGAUUCUAAUAGUUGCCUUCUUGCAAUCUCUAGUAGCUGCAGCAACCUCCCACUGCAGAUGUCUAUUGUGAAUCUGGGCCCCUGGCCCUUGGUCUACAUCUCACGUACAUUCAGCCUUCUUGCACUUCCAGCCUCUUCUCCUUGUGGCUCUCUUGCCCUGUCACUUUGCUUAUGUGCACUGUGGCCAAAGCUAAGGCACCAGGGAGCAUCAAGAAAAGACAAACAUCUGUGAGUUGGAUAUGUGCCAAUAUUGAUAUUCUCUUAUACCUCAAUGCCCUGUGCUAGAGUGUCAGAGAGGAAGCGCAGAAUGCAGCCAUACUUCUUUUCAACCUACUGGUCAAAUUUGGGUGGUUCAAGUGAUCUGAAACUGAGCUCACAAUAUUUCUGAGGCAUGCCUGUACUGCCCUCUCCCAAGAAUGCCUACGUGACCAGCCCUCAGACUGGAUCUUCUGCCUCCAAAUUAUGUGAGAGACUGAGAGCUCUCUCUCUUCAUUUCCUCGUAAGGCCACCAAACCCGUCAGCACCUACUUACCUGACCAUUGUCUCAACUACAGCUGAUGGGAUCCAUGACAGAAGCUUAACCAAAACUAGCCCAUGAGAUUGUUUUUCUCAGGAAUGUAGAAAUGAGGCAGAGGUUAGCCACUGUCCGUGUGCUCUGGAGCUAAACGCAUGUAAGUGUAAGGGUUCUCUUCUGUCCUAAGCUGACACAGGCUGCAGAGAAAAGUGGUUGAUGCUGCCAGUCAGAGAGAAGCAGAUGAAGGAGCCAUGCAGCCUGGAAGGCGAGAGGAGGGCCAAGAAAAUGAGCUUGGUUUCCAACGGGUUCCGCAAUUGCUAUUUUCGGUGGCUGCUGAGCCCAGGUGCUGUUUCUUCACUUGAGCUCCAUGACCCUCCCUGUGUGGUGGGUUGAACGGUGACCUCCAAAAGAUAUGUCCACCUGGAACCUCAGAAUAAGAUCUUAUUUGGAAUAGUCUUUGUAGAUGUCAGUAAGGUAAAGAUUUGGAGAUGAGACCCUCCUGGAUUAGGGUAGGCCCUAGGUCCACUGGCAGGUGUGCUUCUCAGGGUCUGAAAGGGGAAGACAGGGCCACCCAGAGGAGGAGACGGAGGCAGAGACAGGGCCACCCAGAGGAGGAGACGGAGGCAGAGACAGGGCCACCCAGAGGAGGAGACGGAGGCAGAGACAGGGCCACCCAGAGGAGGAGACGGAGGCAGAGACAGGGCCACCCAGAGGAGGAGACGGAGGCAGAGACAGGGCCACCCAGAGGAGGAGACGGAGGCAGAGACAGGGCCACCCAGAGGAGGAGACGGAGGCAGAGACAGGGCCACCCAGAGGAGGAGACGGAGGCAGAGACAGGGCCACCCAGAGGAGGAGACGGAGGCAGAGACAGGGCCACCCAGAGGAGGAGACGGAGGCAGAGACAGGGCCACCCAGAGGAGGAGACGGAGGCAGAGACAGGGCCACCCAGAGGAGGAGACGGAGGCAGAGACAGGGCCACCCAGAGGAGGAGACGGAGGCAGAGACAGGGCCACCCAGAGGAGGAGACGGAGGCAGAGACAGGGCCACCCAGAGGAGGAGACGGAGGCAGAGACAGGGCCACCCAGAGGAGGAGACGGAGGCAGAGACAGGGCCACCCAGAGGAGGAGGCGGAGGCAGAGAUUGGAGUGAUGCUGAGACAGGCUGGGCCGAGGUCCGCCAAGGGCUGCCAGGCAGCCACCAGAAGCUGGGAGAGAGCCAAGCAAGGACCCCCCGCUGAGCCUUCCGAGAGAGCGCGGCCUGCUGACACCUGGGUGUCAGACUUCUGGCCUGCAGACUGUCAGAAUAAGCUCCUGUUGUUUUAAGCCACCUGGUUUAUGGUAAUUUCUUGCAGCAGACCUAGCAAAUUAAUAGACCCCAUAGUCCUGUAAUUCAUUUUGCUUAAACGAGCAUGAAUAAGAUUUAGUUUUGCUAAUAAAUAAAAGUUACUUCACUAAGA
rnacentral:lncRNA from 1 species